rnacentral:rRNA from 1 species
GAUGAACGCUGGCGGCGUGCUUAAUACAUGCAAGUCGAGCGAACGGACUACAAUCUUGCUUCUCUGAUGUUAGCGGCGGACGGGUUAGUAAUACGUAGAUAACCUAUCUAUAAGACUUUGAUUACUUCUGGAAACCGUAGUUAAUACCGGUUAAUCUUUUUACCCGCAUGGUUCAACAGUGUAAGACGGUCUUGCUGUCACUUAUAGAUGUAUCCGCGCUGCAUUAGCUAGUUGGUAAGGUAACGGCUUACCAAGGCAACGAUGCAUAGCCGACCUGAGAGGGGGAUCGGCCACACUGGAACUGAGACACGGUCCAGACUCCUACGGGAGGCAGCAGUAGGGAAUGUUCCGCAAUGGGCGAAAGCCUGACGGAGCAACGCCGCGUGAGUGAUGAAGGUCUUCGGAUCGUAAAACUCUGUUAUUAGGGAAGAACAUAUGUGUAAGUAACUAUGCACAUCUUGACGGUACCUAAUCAGAAAGCCACGGCUAACUACGUG